rnacentral:lncRNA from 1 species
CGGUAUAAGGGUGAAGCAGACCGUCCCCAUACCUCGUUUGGUAUGAGCGCCAAAACAUUUAAAGUCUCCAUAUCCCGUCUGAUAUGAGAGACCACGUUCCCGGUAGGGUUUCCUAUGGACCCGGUCUGUCCACCAUCUCCCAGGAUAUCUAGUGAAGCUGUCGACAUAUCCAUUUAUAAAUUCACAUACCCUUUUCUACUUUUUUCUUAGUUUUCUAUUUUUCACAUAAACAUGAAUACUUAAAUAAUUAACGAGCACCCAACAAGGCAAGCAUAUUGUUAAAUUCACGAAAUCAUGCUGAAAUAAAGUAA